GCUUACGGCCAUACCAGCCUGUACGCCCGAUCUCGUCCGAUCUCGGAUGUAAGCAGGGUGGGCCUGGUUAGUACUUGGAUGGGUGACCGCCUGGGAAUACCAGGUGCUGUAAGCAUUAUA
rnacentral:rRNA from 1 species